rnacentral:rRNA from 1 species
UACGAGGGGGGCAACUGUUGUUCGGAAUCACUGGGCGUAAAGGGAGCGUAGGCGGGCUUCUAAGUUAGGUGUUUAAUCCCGGGGCCCAACCCCGGUCGUGCACUUAAAACUGGAAGUCUUGAAUAGUGGAGAGGUCAGUGGAAUUGGGGGUGUAGCGGUGGAAUGCGUAGAGAUCCCCAAGAACACCAGUUGCGAAGGCGGCUGACUGGACACAUAUUGACGCUGAGGCUCGAAAGCAUGGGGAGCAAACAGG